ensembl:processed_transcript
GCUCGUCUGUGUGUGCGGACGCUCUGCUGCGAGUGCUGGACCAGAAGCAGAGCGACAGGCGGAGGAGCAGACAGACAGAUGAGCAGAGCGACAGCCGCUCUCAGGAGGAGGAGGCUGGCGAUGAAGAGCAGAACUCUGGGAAGGAGGACCACAGAGCUGCGUUUAAGAUCUGCUGGUCCUUCUGGAGACAGAUGAAGGAGCUGGAGAUGCAGAAGAGCCAGACGACAUCAUCAUCAUGAGCAUCACACACACACACACACACACACACACACAC